rfam:Nomascus leucogenys chromosome 14, whole genome shotgun sequence.
GCCAGGCGUGGUGGUGUGCACCUGUAAUCCCAGCUACUCGGAAGGCUGAGGCGGGAGGAUCACUUGAGCCCAGGAGUUCUGGGUUGUAAUGUGCUACUCUAGUUGGGUGUCUGCACUAAGGUCAGCAUCAGUAUGGGGACCUCCCGGGAGCAGGGGACCACCAGGUUGCCUAAGGAGGGUUGAACCAACCCAGAUUGGAAACGGAGCAGGUCAAAACUCCAAGGCUGAUUAGUAGUGGGAUCCUGCCUGUGAACGGCUACUGCACUCCAGCCUGGGGAACACAGCAAGGCCCCAUCUCUA